CCUACGGGAGGCAGCAGUAAGGAAUAUUGGUCAAUGGACGGAAGUCUGAACCAGCCAUCCCGCGUGCAGGAAGAAGGUCCUAUGGAUUGUAAACUGCUUUUAGCAGAGACGAAGACCUUUCAUUUAUGAGAGAGUGACGGUAUCUGCGGAAUAAGCACCGGCUAACUCCGUGCCAGCAGCCGCGGUAAUACGGAGGGUGCAAGCGUUAUCCGGAAUCACUGGGUUUAAAGGGUGCGUAGGCGGGGGAUUAAGUCAGUGGUGAAAGCCUGUAGCUUAACUACAGAAUUGCCAUUGAUACUGAUUUUCUUGAAUUGGGUUGAGGUUAGCGGAAUGUGACAUGUAACGGUGAAAUGUUUAGAUAUGUCAUGGAACACCGAUUGCGAAGGCAGCUAGCUGGGCCUUGAUUGACGCUGAGGCACGAAAGCGUGGGUAGCGAACAGGAUUAGAUACCCUGGUAGUCCACGCCCUAAACGAUGCUAACUCGAUGUUUGGAUUUAAGGUUUGAGCAUCCAAGGGAAACCGAUAAGUUAGCCACCUGGGGAGUACGACCGCAAGGUUGAAACUCAAAGGAAUUGACGG
rnacentral:rRNA from 1 species